rnacentral:snRNA from 1 species
GUCCCUUCGGGGACAUCCGAUAAAAUUGGAACGAUAUAGAGAAGAUUAGCAUGGCCCCUGCGCAAGGAUAACACGCACAAAUUGAGAAAUGGUCCAAUUUUUU